rfam:Fukomys damarensis contig131712, whole genome shotgun sequence.
CGUAUACUAAAAAAGAAAGAAAGAAAAAUGAAACGACACAGAGAAGAUUAACAUGGCCCCUGCAGCACAAUGACUCACGCAUUUGUGAGACGUUCCAUAUUUUA